rnacentral:rRNA from 1 species
GACGAACCGAGCGAACGUUGUUCGGAAUCGCUGGGCGUAAAGGGCGUCUAGGCGGUCAGAUAAGUGGGAUGUGAAAUGCCCCGGCUCACCCGGGGACCGGCAUCCCAAACUGUCUGGCUUGAGUAUGGGAGAGGAUGUGGGAAUUCCUGGUGUAGCGGUGAAAUGCGUAGAUAUCAGGAGGAACACCGGUGGCGAAGGCGCACAUCUGGCCCAAUACUGACGCUAAAGCGCGAAAGCUAGGGGAGCAAACGGG